rnacentral:lncRNA from 1 species
GGCCCAAGUCUGAUCACUUUUUGCAAACCACGUCUCACAGCUCCGAGAACUAACAAGGAAUAUUUUAGCACAAUAUACGGAUCAAAAACUGUACAUGAUGACAUCGAAACCAAAACUUGAACAAAAUAGUUGUAGUACUAAUUUGAACUGUGAAGAGUUUUUUCGAGUAAAAAGAGCUAGCCCCCAAUUUUAUUAUUGAAACAAGAUGAGUAUUUAGAGAUUUUUACGGGACAGUAAUGAAGUUCAUUUGAACUGAAGAGUGGAAUUAGCAAACACAAAAUUCUCUUGUUGAUUGCGCAAAAAAAAAAAAUCCUCUUGUUGAGGAAAUUUCAAUCCUACCAAAUCUCAAAGCAUAUGCAUCAAUUCCAAUCCAAUUUUCUAAUCAACAACAAGAUCUGAACGAACAUUUUCACGAUGGACAAUAAUUUUACAGAUAAAGGCCAUAUAAACCAAACUGUAAUACUUAUUCUAGAAAAAAGAACUAAUCAACCGAGAUUAUAUUAGGUUUAAGCAUUACGGGUAACAAUGGAAGCCUUCCAGCAAUUUCUCCAACACAAUCGAUUGAACAUGUUGAAUUAACAACGAAAAGAAUGAGAACAGAUCAAGAUGAGAGAGAUGACUAUCAACGACGGCAGUUGCUGGCGGCAGCAACACUAGCGGAGAGAGAGAUAAGCGGGGUCAUGGAGAAAAAAGGAACGACGUUGGCCCGUGGUUGCUGGAAACGGCGGUUUCUCCAACACAAUCGAUUGAACAUGUCGAAUUAACAACGAAAAGAAUGAGAACAGAUCAAGAUGUGAGAGAUGACGGCGGUUGCUGGCGGCCGGCGGCAACACUAGCGGAGAGAGAGAUAUGCGAGGUUCAUGAAGAAAAAAGGAACGACGUUGGCCCGUGGUUGCUGGCAACGGCGGCACUAAAAGGAAGAAUAAGAAAACAAUCAACCGGUAUAUGAUUUGGGAUGGGGCCGCAGGGUGUGA